CCUACGGGAGGCAGCAGUGGGGAAUAUUGGACAAUGGGCGAAAGCCUGAUCCUGCCAUGCCGCGUGUGUGAAGAAGGCCUUCGGGUUGUAAAGCACUUUCAGUGGGGAAGAAAGCCUUGGGGCUAAUACCCUCGAGGAAGGACAUCACCCACAGAAGAAGCACCGGCUAACUCCGUGCCAGCAGCCGCGGUAAUACGGAGGGUGCGAGCGUUAAUCGGAAUUACUGGGCGUAAAGCGCGCGUAGGCGGUCUGAUAAGCCGGUUGUGAAAGCCCCGGGCUCAACCUGGGAACGGCAUCCGGAACUGUCAGGCUAGAGUGCAGGAGAGGAAGGUAGAAUUCCCGGUGUAGCGGUGAAAUGCGUAGAGAUCGGGAGGAAUACCAGUGGCGAAGGCGGCCUUCUGGACUGACACUGACGCUGAGGUGCGAAAGCGUGGGUAGCAAACAGGAUUAGAUACCCCGGUAGUC
rnacentral:rRNA from 1 species